GUGCCUACAUAUCAGAAUAAUAUUGAGUACAGUACAAAGAGAUGGGCAUUCUUGAUUUCAACAUUCCUUGAUUGUGAAAUAGUCAAAUUGUGGAACAAGGUAAGUACCGUUGGUUUGUUGCCUGGCAUCUUUGAACUGAGUUCGCCAUUUAACUGCCAGGCAUAAUUUUGAAUGAAUAAAGGCAGUUAGUUUUUUCAGAAUGAGAUCAGGUAAAGCAUAUGCCUCUGUAUAGCCUAAAAAAAGUGUUUGCUGUUAAUUACCGGAUCAUAAGAGCUUUCAGUUGACUCUGGUUUGUGCUCAGGCCUAUCAGUAGGCAAGUCAUUCCACCAGACUGAACCUUGCCCAUCUAUGAUUCCUUUACCUGUGACUGUAAUUCCUUGGAGUUUUGCGAAUUCUAUCCAUUGCAGGAGACUUGAUCCCCAGGCUCCAGAGCUUGUAGGAGCUAUGAUCUUGCCAUCUAACUGCAAGGAUAUCUAAUCAAGGCCUGAGAAGGAAGCAGGUCCCACUAGGAAGACAGACCCCGAUGGAACUACCAUUGUUGAUGCCUCGACCUUACAAGCUGCUGCCCAGCAUGCUUCAAACGCCUGCAACAAAAUUUAAUGCUACGAAAAGAUGAGAUUCUCAUCUUGUGACUCGAGCCCCCAUGUCUCCGCCAUCCUUUUUGGUCCCAUCCAUGUUUCAUAUUAGAUUCUUACCUCCACCUCAACCAGAAGAUAUGCAGUAGCAAAAUGAAGCAAUUCAUGACAUUCGGUCAUGAUUUCUGGUGCAUGUAUUAUGAUACAUGUCGAUGAACAUGCAUUUACAUACAAAUACAUGAUACAUAUAUCUAUAUACGCAUACACAUAUACAUGCAUAGUUAAGCAUACGUGAAACAUGGGAUCAAAAUGAAGAGUGAUCACCUUGGUGU